rnacentral:rRNA from 1 species
GAUGAACGCUGGCGGCGUGCCUAAUACAUGCAAGUCGAGCGAACGGACGAGAAGCUUGCUUCUCUGAUGUUAGCGGCGGACGGGUGAGUAACACGCGGAUAACCUACCUAUAAGACUGGGAUAACUUCGGGAAACCGGAGCUAAUACCGGAUAAUAUUUUGAACCGCAUUGUUCAAAAGUGAAAGACGGUCUUUCUGUCACUUAUAGAUGGAUCCGCGCUGCAUUAGAUAGUUGGUAAGGUAACGGCUUACCAAGGCAACGAUGGAUAGCCGACCUGAAAGGGUGAACGGCCACACUGGAACGGAGAAACGGUCCAGACUCCUGCGGGAGGCAGCAGUAGGGAAUCUUACGCAAUGGGCGAAAGCCUGACGGAGCAACGCCGCGUGAGUGAUGAAGGUCUACGGAUCGUAAAACUCUGUUAUUAGGGAAGAACAUAUGUGUAAGUAACUGUGCACAUCUUGACGGUACCUAAUCAGAAAGCCACGGCUAACUACGUG